UGGGGAAUUUUGGACAAUGGGCGAAAGCCUGAUCCAGCCAUGCCGCGUGAGUGAAGAAGGCCUUCGGGUUGUAAAGCUCUUUUAGUCGGAAAGAAAGAGUUGCAAUGAAUAAUUGUGAUUUAUGACGGUACCGACAGAAAAAGCACCGGCUAACUACGUGCCAGCAGCCGCGGUAAUACGUAGGGUGCGAGCGUUAAUCGGAAUUACUGGGCGUAAAGGGUGCGCAGGCGGUCUUGCAAGUCAGAUGUGAAAGCCCCGGGCUUAACCUGGGAAUUGCGUUUGAAACUGCAAGACUAGAGUGCAGCAGAGGGGAGUGGAAUUCCAUGUGUAGCAGUGAAAUGCGUAGAGAUGUGGAAGAACACCGAUGGCGAAGGCAGCUCCCUGGGUUGACACUGACGCUCAUGCACGAAAGCGUGGGGAGCAAACA
rnacentral:rRNA from 1 species